rnacentral:rRNA from 1 species
CCUACGGGAGGCAGCAGUGGGGAAUUUUGCGCAAUGGGGGAAACCCUGACGCAGCAACGCCGCGUGAGUGAUGAAGGCCUUCGGGUCGUAAAGCUCUGUCUAGAGGAAAGAAGUGUGGGGUGGCUAAUAUCCACUUCACUUGACGGUACCUCUGAAGGAAGCACCGGCUAACUCCGUGCCAGCAGCCGCGGUAAU